UUGAGAAAAGUGCAGAUGAUGCACAGGGUGCACAUGUGACCGAGGUGUUCCCGCACAGUUUGUCCCCCUCGGACCGUGAACUCACCACCUCAUCAACGCAUCGGUUUGGCAAUGGGAGGCGCAGUGCGAGACUGCUGAAGCUAAAGGGCCGGUCCAGUAGCCCAACGUUACCGCACUGUAUUGAGGCUUUCAGGAGGGAGGUUUACUAACGUUCCACACCACACUCUUCUAGUUGGCCUCCUUUACACUCUCCCCCUUAAACCUCACUCCCAUCUGGGUCAGGGCACCACUGUGACCGAGGUGUUCCCGGGCACUCAACACCUAGUGGCACAAUGGAUAGUACCACCAUCUCGUCCUGUGUAUUACAAAUCUGAAUAUCUGGAAGCAUCCAGUGACUGCAGAGAAAGGUCAGCUGACAACAUGGGAAAGACCGUGUGACGGCAUGGAGAGACAGCUGACUGGAGGGAAUAGACCCCACUGGGGCUGCCAUGGGCCAGCUACCCAUGGCGGCAGGCUCUGACGGUUAUUACAGUUGCUGGAGCCACCCGCCAAAUGCUAUGGAAAGUGAACAAAGAAAGAUACCCCUGGAGCCUGCGAGAGCGGGGGCGCAAGAUGGCUCAAUGACUGAUAACACGGCUACAGACCUAGGAAAGGAAAGGACUAUGAUUACGAAUAAGACACAUGAGGCAACCACAGUAGCAGCAGGACACACACUCCAAAUUUGCACCUAUGGAUGGACAAAGGUAACAUCAUGGAGACCGCCUAUGGAGAGGAAGACCAAGGGGCACAAACCAAGAGUGAGGUGGCCUAAAGCUGCAGAAAAGAGAGUGGGAAACAGUCAAUCACGUCCUGGUAACAUCUUGAGGCAACAAAACUGAAGAGAAUAGUUCAGCGGACAAGAUCAGCAUCAGCCCAGGGGCUGAAUGGGGUGCCAUAUAAGUUCUACAAGAUCUCCCCGGAUGUUCUCCGCUAUCUUGGGGAACUGAUGAGAGUAGUGUGGCAAAACGGGAUAAUCCCCUAGGCUUGGCGAAGGGCUGGAGGUGUACUCAUAAAGUAUGGGGUCAGUUCCAAGUCUUACUCAGGGGAGUGGACGCACCUGCCGUGCAUAGUCCCUUGGACUUGUAAUUGGGCAUAGGACACAAGCUGGGGCUUGAUCACCCUGUAGCUGGCCACCUUUGAUGAGGGUGUCUAGUGUCGAAAGGCCGAAACACCCCCUGAUUCAAAGGCACACUAACGAUGUGUCCUAAAUUGACAAGGUACCAUCAAGGAAACUCAUGUGACUCAACACCUAAUGGCAUAAUGGAGAGUAACACCAUCUCUGUGUUUUAUGAAUCUGGAAAGGACUGCAAGAGGGUGCCAAAGAAGCAGAAUAUGGGUGACGCUUGCCGGUUUGAUGACCUGAAGACAACUGCAGAUCAUGCGCAGGAUGAACAACAAGAGUUGGUGGUCGAGGAACAGAUAUAAACAUGAGAGGUAGAGAAGAGAAGCGGGAUCGGCUACAGGAAAGUGCAGAGGACAGAUAAAAUGAAAUAUAGAAGAGCUGAAAAAUAAGCACUGGAAAGGACCAAGAGAGGACAAGCAUUGCUAGUGACCAGCUGGCUAUCUCAGAGUUCCCCUGUUCUCACCUGGACCCCUUAUGGAGCGCACAUGCACCUCCAUUACGGAAAUCAGGGCUGCUGACAGCUUUGGCUGGGACCGGGAUAGUCACCAAAAGCCCCCUCGAUUGAGUCCCUGACUGAUAUGAUAGGCCUAAAUAAAGAGAACAUCAUUCAUGAA